rnacentral:lncRNA from 10 species
AGUUUGAGACCAGCCUGGGCAACAAAGCCCCAAAGCCCAAGAGGAAGGUGGAGGUCUGGGAGCAGAGCGUUGGCAGCCUGGGCAGCCGGCCCCCGCUGUCGAGGCUGGUCGUGGUGAAGAAGGCAAAGGCCGACCCGGACUGCAGCAACGGGCAGCCUCAGGCGGCCCCCACCCCAGGAGCCCCGCAGAACAGGAAGGAGGCCAACCCUACACCCCUGACGCCUGGCGCGUCCUCCCUGAGCCAACUGGGUGCAUACCUGGACAGUGACGACAGCAACGGCAGCAACUGAGCCCUCCCAGGACCCCCUCACGGGGUCAAAGUCACACGUCCAGCUUCAGCCACAUUGAGGCCAGCAUUGCUGGUGGUCAGGGCAGGAGGCCUUGGCGUGACUGGAGGCCGGACAGACAAGCGCCAGCGUGCUCCAACACAUAGGGCCACCAGGGGCCUCAGCCCCAGGAGGUCCCUUCUCUGUGCCCUCACCAGCCUCUCAACACCUCGGGGACCCCUGCUGCUCCUGCCCCCACCUGUCACUGUGCUUAGGGCUGCAACAUCCCUGGAGCAGCUUCCAACACUACUUCAGGGUGGCAGUGUUUGGGGCACUGGGCGAGCCUGCCGGCCUCUAGAUGGC